rnacentral:tRNA from 1 species
AAAGAAUUAGUUAAAAAUAUAACAUUAGAAUGUCAACCUAAAAUUAUUAAUCUAUUAAUAUUCUUUA